GAAUUGCGGCUUGACACUAAACUAUCUCCCACUGGAUAUUUUGGGUGGCCAGGCCACCUCCUUCUUCCUACUCACGACCAUAAUCUCCCCUUAUUCAUUCUCCUCACCUCUAAAUAGACAUUCACCCCUUCGUUUAGUUCCCACACCAAAAUCGGACCAUAGGAACCUGCGAGCACCCGAGCCUUAAGUCCAGAGUCGUGCCGACCGCGAGAUAGAAGUGAUAGAGUCAAAUAAGUAUACCAUGCUAAGGCUAGAUAACCCAAACACCCAGGUAACCAUAGGGAUAUCUUGGGUUGCGAUGGAGCAGUGUUGAUGGCGUAGUGUUUGUGUCUUUUGCAAAGGAAUAUGUAUUGUAAUAUGUAACUAGAUCUUGACCCGCGUAACCGCG